rnacentral:tRNA from 1 species
UUGCGAGUAGCACAGUGGUAGUGCAAUGGUUUCAGGAACCAUCGGUCGCCGGUUCAAUCCCGGCCUCAGAUA